AGAGUUUGAUCCUGGCUCAGGACGAACGCUGGCGGCGCGCUUAACACAUGCAAGUCGAGCGAUAACCAUGGCUUCGGCCAUGGGGAGAGCGGCGAACGGGUGAGUAACACGUGAGCGAUCUGCCCUCGACACUGGGAUAGCCCGGGGAAACCCGGAUUAAUACCGGACAGCCUCUCGGGUCUCCGGGCCCGUGAGAAAAGAUGGCUUCGGCUUUCGGUUGAGGAGGAGCUUGCGGCGGAUUAGCUUGUUGGUGAGGUAACGGCUCACCAAGGCGACGAUCCGUAGCUGGUCUGAGAGGACGAUCAGCCACACUGGGACUGAGACACGGCCCAGACUCCUACGGGAGGCAGCAGUGGGGAAUCUUGCGCAAUGGGCGAAAGCCUGACGCAGCGACGCCGCGUGAGGGAAGAAGGCCUUCGGGUUGUAAACCUCUUUCAGGAGGGACGAAGCUACUCGGGUUAAUACCCCAGAGGGUGACGGUACCUCCAGAAGAAGCCCCGGCUAACUACGUGCCAGCAGCCGCGGUAAUACGUAGGGGGCAAGCGUUGUCCGGAAUCAUUGGGCGUAAAGCGCGUGUAGGCGGCCAGAUAAGUCCGCUGUGAAAUCUCGAGGCUCAACUUCGAGCUGUCGGUGGAAACUGUCUGGCUAGAGUCCGGAAGAGGAGAAUGGAAUUCCUGGUGUAGCGGUGAAAUGCGCAGAUAUCA
rnacentral:rRNA from 1 species